GAUGAACGCUGGCGGCGUGCUUAACACAUGCAAGUCGAACGGUGAAGCAGGAGCUUGCUCUUGUGGAUCAGUGGCGAACGGGUGAGUAACACGUGAGCAACCUGCCCCUGACUCUGGGAUAAGCGCUGGAAACGGCGUCUAAUACUGGAUAUGUGAUGUGACCGCAUGGUCUGCAUCUGGAAAGAAUUUCGGUUGGGGCUGGGCUGGCGGCCUAUCAUCUUGUUGGUGAGGUAAUGGGUAACCAAGGCGUCGACGGGUAGCCGGCCUGAGAGGGUGACCGGCCAAACUGGGACUGAGACACGGCCCAGACUCCUACGGGAGGCAGCAGUGGGGAAUAUUGCACAAUGGGCGGAAGCCUGAUGCAGCAACGCCGCGUGAGGGAUGACGGCCUUCGGGUUGUAAACCUCUUUUAGCAGGGAAGAAGCGAAAGUGACGGUACCUGCAGAAAAAGCACCGGCUAACUACGUGCCAGCCGCCGCCGUAA
rnacentral:rRNA from 1 species